UAUUGGUCAAUGGGCCCCAGCCUGAACCAGCCAAGUCGCGUGAGGGAAGACGGUCCUAUGGAUUGUAAACCUCUUUUGUCGGGGAGCAAAAGACGCCACGCGUGGCGUUCCGAGAGUACCUGAAGAAAAAGCAUCCGCUAACUCCGGGCCAGCAGCCGCGGUAAUACGGAGGAUGCGAGCGUUAUCCGGAUUUAUUGGGUUUAAAGGGUGCGUAGGCGGAAUGCCAAGUCAGCGGUAAAAUCGCGGGGCUCAACCUCGCUCCGCCGUUGAAACUGGCGUUCUUGAGUGGGCGAGAAGUAUGCGGAAUGCGUGGUGUAGCGGUGAAACGCAUAGAUAUCACGCAGAACUCCGAUUGCGAAGGCAGCAUACCAGCGCCCAACUGACGCUGAAGCACGAAAGCGUGGGUAUCGAACAGG
rnacentral:rRNA from 1 species